rnacentral:rRNA from 1 species
CCUACGGGUGGCUGCAGUGAGGAAUAUUGGUCAAUGGGCGCUAGCCUGAACCAGCCAAGUAGCGUGAAGGAUGACUGCCCUAUGGGUUGUAAACUUCUUUUAUAAAGGAAUAAAGUGAGGCACGUAUACCUUUUUGCAUGUACUUUAUGAAUAAGGAUCGGCUAACUCCGUGCCAGCAGCCGCGGUAAUACGGAGGAUCCGAGCGUUAUCCGGAUUUAUUGGGUUUAAAGGGUGCGUAGGCGGGUUGUUAAGUCAGUUGUGAAAGUUUGCGGCUCAACCGUAAAAUUGCAGUUGAAACUGGCAGCCUUGAGUACAGUAGAGGUAGGCGGAAUUCGUGGUGUAGCGGUGAAAUGCUUAGAUAUCACGAAGAACUCAGAUUGCGAAGGCAGCCUGCUAAACUGUGACUGACGCUGAUGCUCGAAAGUGUGGGUAUCAAACAGGAUUAGAUACCCUGGUAGUC